AUGGACGUUACGUUCAGGGAGUCUGAGCCAUUCUAUGGUGAGCCGACUGAUCUCAAUCUGCUGUCUGCAGAGCUUGACCACCUACACCCUGUGCAUGAUGGUCAAGAGGGGGAGAAGGAUGUGUCUCAUACUCACGGGGAUUCUGUGGACAUUAACGCUGAUAAUGAUGUGCACGCUCAAGUUCAACCAAUAGUGGGUACAAUUCCGGUUCCUGUUCGGGAUCGAUGGCAGACGAAUACCCUGGUGUACUCUCAACGGCAACCACAAGUGCAGGGGGAGCAGCAAGGCAGGGAGGCAAGAGUGCAGGGGGAGCAGCAAGGCAGUGAGGCAAGAGUGCAGGGGGAGCAGCAAGGCAGUGAGGCAAGCUCAUCUGACACAGUGGAGCUGCCCAUUGCGUUGCGAAAACCUACACGUGAAGCGGCAAGGAAGGGUGAGGUAGCAAGGAAGGCUCUGCCAAAGGACGAUGCUUGUGAUGACCUUGAUAUUGGCAAUUUUGUGUCUUACAAGGCUUUGUCACCUUCAUAUAAGGCGUUUGUUGCCUCUCUGCAAACUGUGUCUAUCCCUAAGGAUUGGAAGGCUGCAAAGCAAGAUCCGAAGUGGCGUGAAUCGAUGAUAGAGGAGUUAGAAGCAUUGAAAAAAAACAAGACAUGGGUGCUAACCACAUUGCCGGCAGGAAAGAAAGCAGUGAGUUGCAAGUGGAUUUUUACUGUGAAGCAGAAUCCUGAGGGCAAGGUGGAACGGUAUAAGGCUAGAUUGGUCGCCAGAGGAUAUAGUCAAACUUAUGGAAUUGACUAUGAUGAGACAUUUGCUCCAGUUGCAAAGAUGAACACGGUACGGGUAUUGGUCUCGUGUGCUGCAAACUUUGGGUGGAAAUUGCACCAGUUAGAUGUCAAGAAUGCCUUCUUACAUGGUGACUUGAAAGAAGAGGUAUACAUGGAGAUACCGCCUGGUUUUGGCACAGAACAGACUACGGGGAAGGUAUGCAGGCUGAAGAAAUCCUUGUAUGGUCUGAAGCAAUCGCCGAGGGCAUGGUUUGAUAGGUUCAGACGAGCUGUUUGGAAUAUGGGGUAUGGCCAAUGUAAUGGUGAUCACACGGUGUUUUAUAGACACAUUGAUAAGAAGAUCACCAUUGUUGCAGUGUAUGUUGAUGAUAUCAUCAUCACCGGAGAUGAUGAGGAGGAAAUAAAGAGAGUGAAGGGGUGUCUGAGCAAGGAGUUUGAGGUAAAAGACUUGGGAAAUCUAAAGUACUUCCUUGGCAUAGAAGUGGCUCGGACAGAGAAGGGAAUAUCUUUGUGCCAACGAAAAUACACCUUGGAUCUUUUGAGUGACAUGGGCAUGAUGGGAUGUCGUGCAGCCCCUACUCCGAUUGAACAAAAUCAUCAAAUAACAGCACAAUCAGGUGAGCUAGUGAAUAAGGAAGAUUAUCAGAAGCUGGUUGGAAGGUUAUUGUACUUGUGUCAUACCAGGCCUGACAUUACGUAUGCCGUGGGGGUGGUGAGCAGAUACAUGCAUGAACCAAGGAGUGGGCAUCUUAAUAUUGUUCACAGAAUCCUGAGAUACUUGAAGGGGACUCCGGGUAAAGGGUUGUGGUUUGCGAAGAGUGGACAUCUUGAGGUGGAUGGCUAUAGUGACUCUGAUUGGGCUAGCUGUCAAGAUGAUAGACGAUCAACUUCAGGCUACUGUGUGUUUGUGGGAGGAAAUUUGGUGUCAUGGAGAAGCAAGAAACAGACUGUUGUGUCUAGAUCAACAGCAGAAGCUGAAUAUAGAGCAUUAUCUCAAGGGUUGUGUGAUAUGCUCUGGGUGAAGCACCUACUAUGCGAGUUGAAACUUUUGAGGAAGGGACCCCUAAGAGUGUGGUGUGACAAUCAGUCAGCUAUAGCCAUUGCUAAUAACCCAGUUCAACAUGAUAGGACGAAGCAUGUGGAAAUUGAUCGCUUCUUCAUUAAAGAGAAACUAGAUGCUGGGAUCAUCAGCCUUACUCAUGUCAGCUCUGGGCAGCAGUUUGCAGAUUGCUUGACAAAGGGACUGGGAACAAAGGACUGUAACUUGGCGUGUGACAAGAUGGGGAUGAUAGAUAUCUACCACCCAUCUUGA
rnacentral:rRNA from 1 species